AAUCAACGCUGGCGGCGUGCCUAACACAUGCAAGUCGAACGCGAAAGUCCCGCAAGGGAUCAGUAGAGUGGCAAACGGGUGAGUAACACGUGGGUGACCUGCCUUCGAGCGGGGGAUAACGUCCCGAAAGGGACGCUAAUACCGCAUAACAUCCUGCCUUUGAAGAGGUGGAGAUCAAAGCUGGGGAUCGCAAGACCCGGCACUUGAAGAGGGGCCCGCGCCUGAUUAGCAGUUGGUGAGGUAACGGCUCACCAAGGCAACGAUCAGUAUCCGGCCUGAGAGGGCGGACGGACACACUGGGACUGAGACACGGCCCAGACUCCUACGGGAGGCAGCAGUGGGGAAUUGUUCGCAAUGGGCGCAAGCCUGACGACGCAACGCCGCGUGGAGGAUGAAGAUUUUCGGAUCGUAAACUCCUGUCGAAUGGGACGAAAAGAUUGCGGGUGAACAGCCCGUAGUCCUGACGGUACCGUUAAAGG
rnacentral:rRNA from 1 species